rfam:Triticum aestivum genome assembly, contig: Triticum_aestivum_CS42_TGACv1_scaffold_080194_1DS
UUGUUACUCCCUCCGUCCGGAAAUACUUGUCAUCAAAAUAGACAAAAGGGGAUGUAUCUAGACGUAUUUUAGUUCUAGUCUUCUAGAUACAUCUCUUUUUAUCCAUUUUGAUGACAAGUAUUUUCGGACGGAGGGAGUAUCUU